UACGAAGGGGGCUAGCGUUGUUCGGAUUUACUGGGCGUAAAGCGCACGUAGGCGGAUCGUUAAGUCGGGGGUGAAAUCCUGGAGCUCAACUCCAGAACUGCCUUUGAUACUGAAGAUCUUGAGUCCGGGAGAGGUGAGUGGAACUGCGAGUGUAGAGGUGAAAUUCGUAGAUAUUCGCAAGAACACCGGUGGCGAAGGCGGCCAACUGGACCAUUACUGACGCUGAGCGCGAAAGCGUGGGGAGCAAACAGG
rnacentral:rRNA from 1 species